CCGCUGCUCUGCAGCCACUUAGAAUGCAAAGAGACCCAUUCUUCCCCCACAGUAACUGGACAAUACCUAGUUCUGGAGGUACAACACGAUUUUAUUGUGCCACACUCGGCUUUUAUGCAUAACCCCAUUCAAGGGGUUUCUGACACACACGUACAGAGUCACAUCUCAGGCUCCUCCCCCUCCCUGGGGUCCCAGCGUGGGAAAGGGACUUCGUUCUGUUUGUCCUCAAAACCUACCACCCAAACACAGGGUUUCCCACACCAG